CAUUAAAAAGGUUCUUAAAGAAACUCCUUUAAACAGGUUCUAGGUUCUAAAUGGGUCCUUUACAGUUCUUAGAUGGCCCCUGAAAUGUUUUCAGCUAUUUAUAAAAAAGGCUCUACGCUUCCAAAUACGUCCCCCAGUCCUAAUAAUUCCUUUAAAAAGUUCUAGGUUCUCGCUAAGGUUCCUGGGUUCCUAGAAACAUCAUAUAAAAUGGUUCUCAGUUUUCAAAAAAGUUCAAGAGUUCCUGGUUAAGUCUUUGAUGUUUCUCUAAAAUGUUCUGCGUUCUCUAAAAAAGCUCCUACAAACAAGGUCUAAUUUUCCUAAAAGGGUUCCUGGGUUCCUUCCAGUUCUUAGAUGGCACCUAAAAUGUUUUGAUCUUUUUUAUAAAAAAGUUCUAGGCUUCAGAAAAAAAUGUUCUUGGGGUCCUACAAGGUUACUUUAAAAAGAAUCUGGAUUCCCAGGUCUCAAAAAUUGUGAUACAAUGAUUCUGGCCCUCCAAAUGGGUUCCUGAAGUUUCAAAACGUGUCUCUAAAAAGCUUACGUGUUCCUGAGGGGCUCCCAGAUAGAUUUCCAAAACGUUAUUGGAUUUCAAAAAAGGUUCCUGAGUUCCUUCACAAGUUUUAUAUGACCCCUAAAAUCUUUUGAGCUCUUUUACAGAAAGGUUCUGUAGUUCCAAAAAUGUCCCCGAGUCCUACAAAGUUCCUUACAAUAGAUAAGAAGUUCCGGCUAAGGUUCCCCAGUUCCUAAAAGCAUUAUGUAAAAUGGUUCUGACUUACCAAAAAGGUUUAAGAGAUCCUGUUUAAGUCUUAACAUGUUUCUAUAAAUUGCUCUGUGUUUCCUAAAAAGCAGCUAACAGCUUUUGGGCUCUAAAAAGGGUUCCUGAAUUAUUUUAUAUUUCAUAGAUGACCCCGAAAAUGUUUUGAGCUUUUUAUAAAAAGGUUACUCAACAAAACAUUCUGGAUUCCCUGUUCCUUAAAUGUCAUCAAUUGUUCUGACCUUCUGAAAAAAAUCCUGAAAUUUGAAGUCUCCAUAAAAAGGUUCUGUGUUCCGCAGGAACUUGGUGUCUGUUAAAGUUCUUGGAUGGCUGCUAAAAUGUUUUGAGCUUUUUAUAGAAAGGUUCUACACUUCUGAAUAUGUUCUUGAGGGUCCUACAAAGUUCUUCCCAGAUUCCUGUAAACGUCAUUAAAAAAUGGCUUCGGCUCUCCAAAAAGGUUCCUGACUUUCAUAAAAGUUUGUAAAAAAGUUAUGUGUCCCUGGGGAGCUGCUGAAAAAAAUCACAGAUGUUUCUGGGCGUCCAAAAAAGGUUCCUUUGUUCCUUUACAAUUCUAAAAUGCUCACCAAAAUGUUUUGAGCUUUUUAUAAAAUGCUUCUAGGCUAACAAACAUGUUCUUGGGAUCCAACAAAAUUCCUUAAAAGUUCCAUUAAGAGCAUUCUGCGAGUCUGAAAAGGUUCCUGACUUUCCUUUACAGUUCCUCGAUAUCCCCCAAAAUGCUUUGAAACAAUGACCCUGAAAGGUUCCUGUGUACUUUAAGGGUCCUUACAAAGACCGUGAAAGGUUCCUGUGUUCUUUAAGGGUCCCUACAAAGAUACUGAAAUGUUCCUGUGUUCUUUAAGGGUCCCUACAAAGACCCUGAAAGGUUCCUGUGUUCUUUAAGGGUCCCUACAAAUACCCUGAAAGGUUCCUGUGUUCUUUAAGGGUCCCUACGAAGAUACUGAAAUGUUCCUGUGUUCUUUAAGGGUCCCUACAAAGACCCUGAAAGGUUCCUGUGUUCUUUAAGGGUCCCUACAAAGACCCUGAAAGGUUCCUGUGUUCUUUCCCUACAAAGACCGUAAAAGGUUCCUGUGUUCUUUAAGGGUCCCUAAGAAGAUACUGAAAUGUUCCUGUGUUCUUUAAGGGUCCCUAAGGAGAUACUGAAAUGUUCCUGUGUUCUUUAAGGGUCCCUACAAAGACCCUGAAAUGUUCCUGUGUUCUUUAAGGGUCCCUACAAAGACCAUAAAAGGUUCCUGUGUUCUUUAAGGGUCCCUACAAAGACCCUGAAAUGUUCCUGUGUUCUUUAAGGGUCCCUACAAAGACCCUGAAAUGUCCCUGUGUUCUUUAAGGGUCCCUACAAAGACCCUGAAAGGUUCCUGUGUUCUUUAAGGGUCCCUACAAAGACCGUAAAAGGUUCCUGUGUUCUUUAAGCGUCCCUACAAAGACCCUGAAAGGUUCCUCUGUUCUGGUUCUAAAAACUCAUCCCAGUGUUUCAACUUCAUGAAGCAGAACUGUUGGAGGAGGAAGUAA